ACCAAAGAAUUGCCUUCGAUACUGCUCGUCUUGAGUUCGAGAGAGGGUAAUGGAAUUCAUGGUGUAGCGGUGAAAUGCGUAGAGAUCAUGAAGAACACCAGUAGCGAAGGCGGUUACCUGGCUCGACACUGACGCUCAGGGACGAAAGCGUGGGGAGCAAACAGGAUUAGAUACCCUGGUAGUCCACGCCUUAAACGAUGGAUGUUCGGUGUCGGUCCCGAUAAGCACUUGCAGGCAAGUGCCUAUCGGGAUCGGUGCCUGAGCUAACGCGUUAAACAUCCCACCUGGGGAGUACGAUCGCAAGGUUGAAACUCAAAGGAAUUGACGGGGGCCCGCACAAGCAGUGGAGCAUGUGGUUCAAUUCGAUGCAACGCGAAGAACCUUACCUGGGUUUGAAAAGCUAGUGACAGUC
rnacentral:rRNA from 1 species